rnacentral:rRNA from 1 species
CACGUAGGGGGCGAGCGUUGUCCGGAUUUAUUGGGCGUAAAGAGCUCGUAGGCGGUUCGAUAAGUCGGGUGUGAAACCUCCAGGCUCAACCUGGAGACGCCACCCGAUACUGUUGUGACUAGAGUCCGGUAGGGGAGCGUGGAAUUCCUGGUGUAGCGGUGAAAUGCGCAGAUAUCAGGAGGAACACCAGUGGCGAAGGCGGCGCUCUGGGCUGGAACUGACGCUGAGGAGCGAAAGCGUGGGGAGCGAACAGGAUUAGAAACCCUGGUAGU